rnacentral:rRNA from 1 species
UCGAACGAUGAACCUCCUUCGGGAGGGGAUUAGUGGCGAACGGGUGAGUAACACGUGGGCAAUCUGCCCUUCACUCUGGGACAAGCCCUGGAAACGGGGUCUAAUACCGGAUACGAGCCUCCAAGGCAUCUUGGAGGUUGGAAAGCUCCGGCGGUGAAGGAUGAGCCCGCGGCCUAUCAGCUUGUUGGUGAGGUAACGGCUCACCAAGGCGACGACGGGUAGCCGGCCUGAGAGGGCGACCGGCCACACUGGGACUGAGACACGGCCCAGACUCCUACGGGAGGCAGCAGUGGGAAUAUUGCACAAUGGGCGAAA